AGGAUGCUGAAGCUGAUACGUACGCAGCUCUCGAUCCAUCAUCCAGGUCCUCCAACGAUGAGUACGGCACUCUGACAACCGCUCACUCCAGUCCUCCUGAUGAUACAUACGCGACUCUGGAUCCCCACACCAUUUCUCCAGAGUACGAAACUCUAACAAUGGUGAGAAACGAGAACUGAUCGUGGAUGUCGACACGUGACACGAUGACUUGAUUGAUCCAACC